AUGUUUCUUCUCGGUAGUCUGAUGAAUUAUUAUUAUUAUUAUAGUUCAUAUUAAUUUAUCACUUCAAAAAACACUUUGUCGUGUCUGUUCACACUUGUCUGAUUCUUCUUACAGUGCCGGCCCCUCUUCGUCUUAUCUCGUGCUGCAUUUAUUAAAUAUCAUAGGCUGAUCUGAUGCAUGUUCAUAAGAGACAACGCAGAGAAUAAUACCAUGUGACAUAUAUUAGAUAUGUAUCCUCUCUUGGUUAAAUUCAAAAGUCAAAUCUUUAUCUUGGGAACUGCAUUAUUGAGUCUCAGCAUGUGGUUUUUCCUUUGACUCUUUGGGAUAUAUUUGACUUCAACGAACAAAUUAAUUAUAUUACUUUUGGUUUUUAUUAUUAUUAUUGUAUUGCUGUGAUGGAUUUGGAGAUAUGCAACGAAUUGUCUCUAUGAAAUUCUUGACUGAUUCUUUUUAGUAUGAACAGUCAGUGGAUGUUAGUGGUCCAAAACAUUAAUUGUCAAGGAAAAAAAAAAAGAAAAAGAAAAGAAAAGAAAACAUAUGGGUACGUACGUAGCAGAUUAAUUUGCUGGCCCCUCGAGAUAUACGAGUGGAAGAUGCUUUUAGCUGUGGAUUUCUUAAUGAUGUUUUAUUUACAUUUAAAAGAAGAUCCAUUCUCUUAAAGAACUAGUUUAAAUGGCUGGUG
rnacentral:lncRNA from 1 species